GUGGGGGUUGCCGCCUGCCUCUCUCCUGGCUCUUUCCGGGCUGGGAAGAAUACAAUUCACAAAUGUGGAGCAUCUGAGGAAUUUGGGGGCUAAAAACAGAAGCUUCUGGCUGGAGGUGGCUAAGAUUCCUGGACCUGAAGGGUGUUGGGAAACAGUAUCAAGAAUGUUUUGCUUGUGCUAUGGAGCUAAUACUAAAGCAGCUAUCUACUGACAGUUCACUGGAGCACCACGGUGAGUGCUCCAUGGAGAGGG
rnacentral:lncRNA from 1 species